GGAAGCGUACCUGAAUGCUUAAGGACCACUUUGAUAGGGUGGGUCAUAGGGGUUCAAGUCCCCUCGUUUCCU
rnacentral:tRNA from 1 species